rnacentral:rRNA from 1 species
AUACGUAGGGGGCGAGCGUUAUCCGGAUUUAUUGGGCGUAAAGCGCGCGCAGGCGGUUAAGUAAGUCGGAUGUGAAAGGCUACGGCUCAACCGUAGAGCGGCAUCCGAAGCUGCUUGACUUGAGUGCAGGAGAGGAGAGCGGAAUUCCCGGUGUAGCGGUGGAAUGCGUAGAGAUCGGGAGGAACACCAGUGGCGAAGGCGGCUCUCUGGACUGUAACUGACGCUGAGACGCGAAAGCGUGGGGAGCAAACAGGAUUAGAUACCCUGGUAGUCCACGCCGUAAACGAUGAGUGCUAGGUGUUGAUGGGUAUCCCCUCAGUGCCGCAGGUAACCCAAUAAGCACUCCGCCUGGGGAGUACGGUCGCAAGACUGAA